rnacentral:rRNA from 1 species
UACGGAGGGGGCUAGCGUUGUUCGGAAUUACUGGGCGUAAAGCGCACGUAGGCGGCUUUGCAAGUUAGAGGUGAAAGCCCAAGGCUCAACCUUGGAAUUGCUUUUAAAACUGGUAGGCUAGAGAGUGGUAGAAGAUAGUGGAAUUCCUAGUGUAGAGGUGAAAUUCUUAGAUAUUAGGAGGAACACCGGUGGCGAAAGCGGCUAUCUAGGCCAUUUCUGACACUGAGGCGCGAAAGCGUGGGGAGCAAACAGG